UACGGGGGGGGCAAGCGUUGUUCGGAAUUACUGGGCGUAAAGGGUUCGUAGGUGGCUUGCUAAGUCAGACGUGAAAUCCCUCAGCUUAACUGGGGAACUGCGUCUGAGACUGGCCGGCUUGAGUGCAGGAGAGGAACGCGGAAUUCCAGGUGUAGCGGUGAAAUGCGUAGAUAUCUGGAGGAACACCGGUGGCGAAGGCGGCGUUCUGGACUGCUACUGACACUGAGGAACGAAAGCCAGGGGAGCAAACGGG
rnacentral:rRNA from 1 species